rnacentral:rRNA from 1 species
ACGAACGCUGGCGGCACGCUUAACACAUGCAAGUCGAACGAGAGAAGAGGAGCUUGCUUUUCUGAUCUAGUGGCGGACGGGUGAGUAACACGUGAGCAAUCUGCCUUUCAGAGGGGGAUACCGAUUGGAAACGAUCGUUAAUACCGCAUAACAUAAUUGAACCGCAUGAUUUGAUUAUCAAAGAUUUAUCGCUGAAAGAUGAGCUCGCGUCUGAUUAGCUAGUUGGUAAGGUAACGGCUUACCAAGGCGACGAUCAGUAGCCGGACUGAGAGGUUGAUCGGCCACAUUGGGACUGAGACACGGCCCAGACUCCUACGGGAGGCAGCAGUGGGGAAUAUUGCACAAUGGAGGAAACUCUGAUGCAGCGAUGCCGCGUGAGGGAAGAAGGUUUUAGGAUUGUAAACCUCUGUCUUCAGGGACGAAAAAAGACGGUACCUGAGGAGGAAGCUCCGGCUAACUACGUGCCAGCAGCCGCGGUAAUACGUAGGGAGCGAGCGUUGUCCGGAAUUACUGGGUGUAAAGGGAGCGUAGGCGGGAUCGCAAGUCAGAUGUGAAAACUAUGGGCUUAACCCAUAAACUGCAUUUGAAACUGUGGUUCUUGAGUGAAGUAGAGGUAAGCGGAAUUCCUAGUGUAGCGGUGAAAUGCGUAGAUAUUAGGAGGAACAUCAGUGGCGAAGGCGGCUUACUGGGCUUUAACUGACGCUGAGGCUCGAAGGCGUGGGGAGCAAACAGGAUUAGAUACCCUGGUAGUCCACGCCGUAAACGAUGAUUACUAGGUGUGGGGGGACUGACCCCUUCCGUGCCGCAGCAAACGCAAUAAGUAAUCCACCUGGGGAGUACGACCGCAAGGUUGAAACUCAAAGGAAUUGACGGGGGCCCGCACAAGCAGUGGAGUAUGUGGAUUAAUUCGAAGCAACGCGAAGAACCUUACCAGGUCUUGACAUCGUAUGCAUAGCUCAGAGAUGAGUGAAAUCUCUUCGGAGACAUAUAGACAGGUGGUGCAUGGUUGUCGUCAGCUCGUGUCGUGAGAUGUUGGGUUAAGUCCCGCAACGAGCGCAACCCUUACUGUUAGUUGCUACGCAAGAGCACUCUAGCAGGACUGCCGUUGACAAAACGGAGGAAGGUGGGGAUGACGUCAAAUCAUCAUGCCCCUUAUGACCUGGGCCUCACACGUACUACAAUGGCUGUCAACAGAGGGAAGCAAAGCCGCGAGGUGGAGCAAACCCCUAAAAGCAGUCUUAGUUCGGAUUGUAGGCUGCAACCCGCCUACAUGAAGUCGGAAUUGCUAGUAAUCGCAGAUCAGCAUGCUGCGGUGAAUACGUUCCCGGGCCUUGUACACACCGCCCGUCACGCCAUGGGAGUCGGUAACACCCGAAGCCUGUAGUCUAACCGCAAGGAGGACGCAGUCGAAGGUGGGAUUGAUGACUGGGGUG